rnacentral:rRNA from 1 species
UACGAAGGGGGCUAGCGUUGCUCGGAAUCACUGGGCGUAAAGCGCACGUAGGCGGGUCGUUAAGUCAGGGGUGAAAUCCUGGAGCUCAACUCCAGAACUGCCCUUGAUACUGGCGAUCUCGAGUUCGGGAGAGGUGAGUGGAACUGCGAGUGUAGAGGUGAAAUUCGUAGAUAUUCGCAAGAACACCAGUGGCGAAGGCGGCCCACUGGCCCGAUACUGACGCUGAGGUGCGAAAGCGUGGGGAGCAAACAGG